rnacentral:rRNA from 1 species
CGCUGGCGGCGUGCUUAACACAUGCAAGUCGAACGGUAAGGCCCUUCGGGGUACACGAGUGGCGAACGGGUGAGUAACACGUGGGUGAUCUGCCCUGCACUUCGGGAUAAGCCUGGGAAACUGGGUCUAAUACCGGAUAGGACCAUGGACUUCACGGUUUGUGGUGGAAAGCUUUGCGGUGUGGGAUGGGCCCGCGGCCUAUCAGCUUGUUGGUGGGGUAAUGGCCUACCAAGGCGACGACGGGUAGCCGGCCUGAGAGGGUGUCCGGCCACACUGGGACUGAGAUACGGCCCAGACUCCUACGGGAGGCAGCAGUGGGGAAUAUUGCACAAUGGGCGCAAGCCUGAUGCAGCGACGCCGCGUGAGGGAUGACGGCCUUCGGGUUGUAAACCUCUUUCAAUAGGGACGAAGCGCAAGUGACGGUACCUAUAGAAGAAGCACCGGCCAACUACGUG